rnacentral:rRNA from 1 species
GUAGGUGGGCAAGCGUUGUCCGGAAUUAUUGGGCGUAAAGCGCGCGCAGGCGGUCCUUUAAGUCUGAUGUGAAAGCCCACGGCUCAACCGUGGAGGGUCAUUGGAAACUGGGGGACUUGAGUACAGAAGAGGAAAGCGGAAUUCCAAGUAUAACAAUGAAAUACAUAAAAGAUUUAAAAGAACACCAGUGGCGAAGGCGGCUUUCUGGACUGUAACUGACGCUGAGGCGCGAAAGCGUGGGGAGCAAACAGGAUUAGAUACCCUGGUAGUCCACGCCGUAAACGAUGAGUGCUAAGUGUUAGGGGGUUUCCGCCCCUUAGUGCUGCAGCUAACGCAUUAAGCACUCCGCCUGGGGAGUACGGCCGCAAAGGCUG